ACAAAAUUACCAAAAACCUCUUUACCAACUCAAACUGCUGCAUUGAGUACCGGUACUCGUUUGAGGUACCGGUACCCGGCACUUAAACAGCUAAAACCCGAGUGCUAGGCAGCUGGGUUUAAUACAGUGUACCGGUACUAGCCCGAUGCAAUACCAGCACCCAGCCCCAGUACCAGUACUCCACUCAGGUACCGGUACUCAACACUCAAAACCUGCAAUUUGCAGAUUUCAAUAUCAGAAUUCCAAUCUCGCACUGUGCCGAGUCCGUUUUUGCGUCCAUUUCGCGCUAAACGACUCAAACUCGUCCCGACACUCUACAGAUGUGUCAAUAAGCCACAAUUACCGCAAUCAUUCCGACCGCUAAACCCCAAGGACACUACAGUAAUUGCCUAUGCCUCUCGGCAAUUGAAGGAAAGAUGAAAAGAAUUAUCCUA
rnacentral:lncRNA from 1 species